GGGAAGGUGGCUCAGUGGUAGGGUGCUUGCCUUGCAUGCAUGAGGCCCUAGGUUCGAUUCCUCAGCACCUCA
rnacentral:tRNA from 1 species